rnacentral:rRNA from 1 species
AUGGGGCUUGUGGAUCUCAUGCACCACAAGUCAAUGGAGCGGCAGCCGGACUGCCGGCGACGGCGAGCUCAAGACACUAAUGGAUUGGUUGCUUCACAGGCCAAAAUAAAUGUCUUGCCCUGUCAGCAAGAUGAUGAUUCUCAGGGUGGUGAGCGUGACAUACAGAUGCCAAACCUUCCAGAGGACAUUUGGCGUCACAUACAUUCCCUGAUGCCAAUGCGAGAUGCUGCCCAAGCUGCCUGUGUCUCUCAUGCUUUUCUACGUUCCUGGAGGUGCCAUCCCAACCUCACCUUUUCUGGCACAGCAUUGGGUAUGAAUAAAAAGACUUGUGUAAAUGAUGAAAUUGCCAGAGACUUUCGUAGCAAGGUUGACCAGAUCCUGAAAAAACACUCAGGCAUUGGUGUGAAGAAACUUAAACUUACGAUUGACAUGAUUCAAUAUUACACUGCCAAGGAUUCUUGUUAUGUCAACAGUUGGCUUCUGAUUGCUGUCACACCAGGAAUUGAGGAACUUACACUUCAACUGUCUAUGGGGGAAUACAAUUUUCCAUGCUCACUUUUGUCUAAUGGGAGUGGAGAGUCAAUCCGUUAUCUCCAUCUUUGUGGUUGCUCCUUUCGACCCACAGCUGAACUUCCUUGGUUAAAAAGCUUGACAAAAGUGCGGCUUCAUGCUGUCCGUUUUACUGGGGAUGAGUUAGGGUGCCUUCUGUGCAAUUCUUCUGCUUUGGAGCGGUUGGUUCUCAUGCAUUGUGAUGAGAUGGUUUGCUUGAAGAUCCCUUGCAUGCUGCGGCGGCUCAGGUACCUACAGGUUUUUGGCUGUGAAGAUCUGCGAGUGAUAGACAACAAAGCUCCAAAUAUAUCCAGCUUCUUGUACAGCGGAGAACGCAUUCAACUGUCACUUGGAGACACAUUGAAAAUGGAGUACAUACACUUGUUGUUCAGACGUGCACUUCAUUAUGCUCGUGUUGAACUUCCAUCCAGCAUGCCAAACCUCAAAAUUGCUAAUAUAAAUUCGAGAAGCGAGAUGGCCAAUACACCAGUGCCGCGCAGCAAGUUUCUCCACCUCAAGAAGCUAAUUAUUAGUCUUAACACAAUAACCUUUUCCUAUGAUUAUUUUUCUCUAGUUUCCUUGCUUGGCGCUUGCCCCUCCUUGGAGACACUGGUCUUGGAUGUAUCCAAGGAGAAAAUGGAGCAUGUCUCCAUAUUCACAGAUCCCUCAGAUCUGAGGAAAGGACAGCAGCAUCACAAGAUGAAGAGAGUGAAGAUCCUAGGAUUCACAUCUGCAAAGAGUCUUGUUGAGCUUACUUGCCAUUUUCUUGAGAGCAUAACAUCACUUGAAUACCUUACGCUGGAGUCCUAUCAGAGUCGUUCAAGGUGUUGUGCCUGCUAA